AAGUUAGAUAGGGCACGGUAACGAUAUCAGCCGGGUGCCACGUUGACAGGUCCUAAAAGUUCAGGGGAUGGUUAUCUUCCUGUCAUAUUUUAUGUAGAACAUUGGGAGAAAUAUGACUACUGAAAUAGGAGUUCGUUUGGAGGGCACAUCUUUUUCCUAGCCGUGAGUACAUAGGUGUUUAACAAAACCAGUUUCAACCCGAAGGCAGGCAGAGCGUUGCGGGAUUCAGAUAUACGGAGGUCCAUGCGGAUAUCGUGCUACAACAUGGAAGGGCGUGGUGUAGCUCCGUAGAGAAUAACCCGAGACUUGGGAGGCAUCGUGGAUUGUUUUCCACUCUGGGCGUGCUUAUCGCAAGUUGACGGGAAACCGGAACGGUGUCUUCAGAGUGCAUAUUAGUUACAUUAUAAAGUUAAAGUAACUCGAAAUUUAGAAACAAAACCAAAGAAUAUUAUAUAACAGAAAAGGAGAAUUGAGUAUUUGGAACUUUUUCUAAAUUAUACUACUUUUGAAUAUUGUUUUUACUUGAAAAGUUAAUACCUGUACAUUCGCUUUUACAUCUGAUACGUACUAUCGGACUUUCCAAAAGAACUGUUUACAACGUAUCAGAUAUCUAUAUUGCCAAUUGCUUAUUCAUGUAAAUUUGUGUUGAGAGUGAAAGGAAUGAGUGUGCAUAUUUUUUUGUAUUUAUUUAUAUAAACAAUAAAUUUGUACUUGUUUAUUCUACAA